rnacentral:rRNA from 1 species
UAUUAAAGGCAACGCCUGCCCAGUGAAUAAUUAAACGGCCGCGGUAUCCUAACCGUGCAAAGGUAGCGUAAUCACUUGCCUAUUAAUUGUAGGCCUGUAUGAAAGGCAUAAUGAGGGUCUAACUGUCUCUUUUAGUAAGUCAAUUAAACUGAUCUCUUAGUACAAAAGCUAAGAUACUAACAUAAGACCAGAAGACCCUGUGAAGCUUUAACUAAACUAUUAAACUCUAUAAUAGCUCCUUUCGGUUGGGGCGACCUUGGAAAAAAAAAGAACUUCCAAACAUAAUAUACUUAUCUAUAUUCAUAGGCUAACAGGCCUACUACGACCCAGCACAGCUGAUAACUGAACCAAGUUACUCCAGGGAUAACAGCGCUAUCUUCUUCAAGAGCCCAUAUCAAAAAGAAGGUUUACGACCUCGAUGUUGGAUCAGGACAUCCUAAUGGUGCAACCGCUAUUAAGGGUUCGUUUGUUCAACGAUUAAUA